rnacentral:rRNA from 1 species
UACAGAGGGGGCAAGCGUUGUUCGGAAUUACUGGGCGUAAAGGGCGCGUAGGCGGCCAUCUAAGUCAGACGUGAAAUCCCCCGGCUUAACCUGGGAACUGCGUCUGAUACUGGUCGGCUUGAGUAUGGGAGAGGGAUGUAGAAUUCCAGGUGUAGCGGUGAAAUGCGUAGAUAUCUGGAGGAAUACCGGUGGCGAAGGCGGCAUCCUGGACCAUUACUGACGUUGAGGCGCGAAAGCUAGGGUAGCAAACGGG